rnacentral:rRNA from 1 species
CCUACGGGGGGCAGCAGUGGGGGAUAUUGCACAAUGGGGGGAACCCUGAUGCAGCGACGCCGCGUGGGUGAAGAAGCGCCUCGGCGCGUAAAGCCCUGUCAGCAGGGAAGAUAAUGACAGUACCUGUAGAAUAAGCUCCGGCUAACUACGUGCCAGCAGCCGCGGUAAUACGUAGGGAGCAAGCGUUAUCCGGAUUUAUUGGGUGUAAAGGGUGCGUAGACGGGAAGGCAAGUUAGUUGUGAAAUCCCUCGGCUUAACUGAGGAACUGCAACUAAAACUAUCUUUCUUGAGUGCUGGAGAGGAAA